CAUUGUGACGGGUUGUACAUUGUGACAGACUGUACAUUGUGACGGGUUGUACAUUGUGACGGGUUGUACAUUGUGACAGACUGUACAUUGUGACAGACUGUACAUUGUGACAGACUGUACAUUGUGAUCAUAAUUGUUGUCUGCAUCCACAGGCCAAUGAAAAGAUGGUGAUGAGAACCACAACAUUUUUGGAUGAAGAGAAGAAAGAGGUGGAAGUUCUGAAAGUGGUGAUGACAAUCGAGUCCACCCUCAAGAAGCUCCUUUACCUGGGACGUAAAACUGCUACUAAUUCAAAACGGUAAAGGCAGAAAGGAAGAAGGGAGGCUCUGUCAGGAAAUAGAGAAGGAAGAGGAUGAGGAGAUUGAUACUGGUGCUGGAGGCGUUUCUACAGGAGCUGGUCAACAAAAGAUGGAGACCCUGCAGACGGAGAGUUUAGAGGAUUAAGUCAGCAAUCUUGAUACGCAGGCAUUAAACAUGUUAUAUAUAAAUAGUGAAUUUGGUUCCUAGUGAAUACACUUCAGAGGGAAGCAAACGGGGUGGGACCUUUCUGAAAUAAUGUCGAGAAAAACGUGAAAAAAAUGAUGGUUAUUGAAUCCACUGUUAAGAAGCUCCUUGGGAUAGUACAAAUAUUUCUGAAUACAGGGCAGAGAUUUGACAUGGUAUUUUUUUGUGGGGGGUUGUUAUGUUGCAGUCAUGUUAAAUUUACUGUCUGUAUUCCUUAAUGUCUCAAUGUAUGGAAUAUUCUGAUUUAAAGCUAAAUUGUUCUGA